rnacentral:lncRNA from 1 species
GUAGUAACCAGUUUAAAUUGGGUACGUUUAUUAUCCGGCCGUGAAAAUACUGCCCCCUAGCCCAGACAGGUUAAGGUCCAGGGAAGAAAGCUGGGACAGGACCAUCCCCACUCCUACAUCAGAAUCAUCGGCCUCCACCACGAACUGACUGGAACGGUCAGGAUGAACCAAGAUAGGAGCAGUGGUGAAGCGGUUUUUGAGUUCCCGGACCGCCCGGUCAACAACAGGGGACCACGUGAACGGAAACUUGGGAGAGAGAUGGUGUCGCAACUUGAUCUCAUCUAUACAGAGGAGGAGAGGAGGAGAGGAGAUCAGAGGAGGAGAGGAGAUCAGAGGAGGAGAGGAGAUCAGAGGAGGAGAGGAGGAGAGGAG